UGCAGUCGAGCGGCAGCGGAAGUAGCUUGCUACUUUGCCGGCGAGCGGCGGACGGGUGAGUAAUGUCUGGGAAACUGCCUGAUGGAGGGGGAUAACUACUGGAAACGGUAGCUAAUACCGCAUGACCUCGAAAGAGCAAAGUGGGGGAUCUUCGGACCUCACGCCAUCGGAUGUGCCCAGAUGGGAUUAGCUAGUAGGUGAGGUAAUGGCUCACCUAGGCGACGAUCCCUAGCUGGUCUGAGAGGAUGACCAGCCACACUGGAACUGAGACACGGUCCAGACUCCUACGGGAGGCAGCAGUGGGGAAUAUUGCACAAUGGGCGCAAGCCUGAUGCAGCCAUGCCGCGUGUGUGAAGAAGGCCUUAGGGUUGUAAAGCACUUUCAGCGAGGAGGAAGGCAUCACACUUAAUACGUGUGGUGAUUGACGUUACUCGCAGAAGAAGCACCGGCUAACUCCGUGCCAGCAGCCGCGGUAAUACGGAGGGUGCAAGCGUUAAUCGGAAUUACUGGGCGUAAAGCGCACGCAGGCGGUUUGUUAAGUCAGAUGUGAAAUCCCCGCGCUUAACGUGGGAACUGCAUUUGAAACUGGCAAGCUAGAGUCUUGUAGAGGGGGGUAGAAUUCCAGGUGUAGCGGUGAAAUGCGUAGAGAUCUGGAGGAAUACCGGUGGCGAAGGCGGCCCCCUGGACAAAGACUGACGCUCAGGUGCGAAAGCGUGGGGAGC
rnacentral:rRNA from 1 species